ensembl:lncRNA
GCUUAUUUCACCCUUUUAUCUCUGUGAACUCUGUGAGUUCAGAAGGGAUUUUCCCUGAAGAGACAGAGACGUGAGGGAGGAGUCACCAUAAAGGAUUAAUUAACAAAAAAAAAUAUAUUUUUAAUUAUGUUGGUGGGUAUGUACUGCCUUGGAAGGAACACCUCAUAUUUAUGUGAGUCUCAAACAAACACCAAAGCUGAAGAGAUGAGUCCCUCACGCCCAGCUCUGCGACGUGCUCAGGCUGUGAGCUGAGAACACCUAUGAGGCGGCACCGCCCUGAGGGGACGGGCGGCAACGCCCGGGAAGGGCGCGUGACCCAGAGGUGACCAUGAGGUGACCCCCAGGUGACCCCGACCUCACCGCCUCCAGAUGGAAAGAGCGGGAACGAUGAGGCGAGAAGCGAGAGCGGCGGGAAGCGAAAACGGCGGGAAGAGAGAGACACGUUCUGCGCUCCUAUUGGCUGGCGGGCGGCGGGGACACCUAUAUAAGGCUCACGGGGAAAUGCAAACUCCUUACAGCGUGACAGGAAUCCCACUGCUCUGAGGAAAAGACGGCAAGCGGCAUCCCGGGCUGAGUUACCAACAACUAAUGGAAGAUAAACAAAUGAAACUGAGGAAGUCUGGAUGACAAACGAAAAAGAGGAGCUCUAAAUAGAGGAGCUCCCGCAGAAGACGGCGGAAGAAGCCACGUGUGGAACCGGGCGGCAGGAGGAUGCAAGCAGAGGGAGCAAGAAGAGGAAGCAGAAGACUGCGGCUGGGCUAAGGGAGAGGCGGCCUGGGCAAAAGCAUCUCCCUGUCACCAGGGGCAUAGUCAUGUCGCAGUAGAGCGUUGCCGGCACUUUAGGUGACCAGGCCGGCUUUGUGCUGGGCGACCUCCCUGUAAGCAGGGCUCGGGUCUUUGCUGUAGUUGGCCUUUUGCCUUGUUGCUCCUUUGGCUGCCUGGGGAAGGUGGGCCCCUGUAAGGAGGGCGAGAGCUGCUUUCUCCGCACCCGAGUGGGAAAUGGAGCUCGCUGGACCCCACGGGCACCCUGUAAGCAGGGUAGCGCCCUUCCCCUGCCACUGUUCCUCUGGCCGCUCAGCGCUGAUGCCUGCUGGUGGCCUGUCCGUGUGUUGGCCCUGUACUCGGGGCGUGUGUCACGCCACUUGGCCUUAAGUCACCUGGGAAUCCCCUUGGCGCGUUGAGGUCUGAGGCCUCCGUGCAGCCCCGGGGCGGGACAGAGGCUCUUGUCUGCUGCUCGUGGGUACGGGGUUUUAUUUCCCCAGGCCUUGGCUGCACUGCCUUCUCCUUCCGUUCUGGAAAGCCCUGUCUGUGUGGUUGUGUUCCCCUUCCUUCCCUUGUUUGCUUUUGUGUGUGUGACUGUGCGAUUGAAGUCUCCCCUUAGGCCUCCAUGACUAUGGCUGCAGCUUAGCUGUGGCUUCCCAGGGGGGAAUGGAGGACUCGGUGGAUGCAGCAAGGGGGAUGUUCCCUCUUAGCUCCGCGAGUGGUGCAAGUGUCCUUUUGUCUUGCCCCUUUUUUCCUAGGGCAGAACAGAGCUGUGUGGUAGUUGCGUGGCCAUGGCCGCCCUGUAUCCAGGGUUUGGGUCUGUGCCUGUGUGGCCCCCUGUCCUGCUGGCGACACGCCAGCGUGACAGCCCCGUACUCGGGGCGUGUGUCACAAACUGUGGAGCCCUCUGUCCCCGGAGCGGCCCGCCCCCCCUGUAAUCAGGUCUGGGGAGGCUGCGUUGGUGCAGCCGGCUGCUUUAGCCAGCUGGUGGGAGUGACCCCUCCCUGGCCCGUUAGAGGGUGCAGGUUGAGGUGCUACUUGUGGCUGGGGCGACUUCCCCGCUGUGUGGGUAGAGGUUGUUCCCUGGGCUCCUGAAGACGUGGUGAUGAUUGUGCUGCGGCCGGGCGGGCCCGCCUGUACCUCGGGCGUUGGCAGGAGCUGCGUGCUCCGUGGGGCUUUUGGACGUGGUGCGGCGUGGGGUACCGUCCUGUAGUCAGGGCUGUGCGUGCCCCCUGCGCUUAGGAGGAUGAGUUCUGAGAGACCCCCUGUACUCAGGUGGGUACCUUCGGCCCGGCCUUUCAGAGGCGUGGUGCUGAG